GGAAGAUUGCCAAGAGUUCAAGGUCAGCCUCCAUUAUAUAGUGACACUGCUAACAGACUAAAUGACUUGGCUCCGAUGAGGUAGUAGAGCUGGAAGUUGACCAUCGUGUCUGGCUCCGCUAGGGACUCUCACUCCCUACGCGGCCUCGUGGAAGCACCUAUAUGCUGGAGACUGAACCUAGGGCCUCGUCGAUGAUAGAAAAGCAUUUUAUCACUGAGCUACAUCCUUCUCCUUCUCCUUUGUGUGUGCACCCGUGUGAGUAUGUGGAGGUUCACGUCCAUGGGCAAAUAGGUGCCCGUGGGCAAGUGGAGGACUGAGGUCAUUGUCUUUUGUUUUGUUUUGUUUUGUUUUAUUUAUUUAAGUAUAUCUGCAU